UACGUAGGGUGCAGGCGUUAAUCGGAAUUACUGGGCGUAAAGCGUGCGCAGGCGGUUUCUUAAGUCAGAUGUGAAAGCCCCGGGCUUAACCUGGGAACUGCGUUUGAAACUGGGAGACUUGAGUGUGGCAGAGGGGGGUGGAAUUCCACGUGUAGCAGUGAAAUGCGUAGAUAUGUGGAGGAACACCAAUGGCGAAGGCAGCCCCCUGGGUCAACACUGACGCUCAUGCACGAAAGCGUGGGGAGCAAACAGG
rnacentral:rRNA from 1 species